AGAGUUUGAUUAUGGCUCAGGAUGAACGCUAGCUACAGGCUUAACACAUGCAAGUCGAGGGGCAUCAGGGUGUAGCAAUACACCGCUGGCGACCGGCGCACGGGUGAGUAACACGUAUCCAACCUGCCCUUUACUCGGGGAUAGCCUUUCGAAAGAAAGAUUAAUACCCGAUGGUAUAACAUGACCUCCUGGUUUUGUUAUUAAAGAAUUUCGGUAGAGGAUGGGGAUGCGUUCCAUUAGGCAGUUGGCGGGGUAACGGCCCACCAAACCUUCGAUGGAUAGGGGUUCUGAGAGGAAGGUCCCCCACAUUGGAACUGAGACACGGUCCAA
rnacentral:rRNA from 1 species